AUUCCUACGGGAGGCAGCAGUGAGGAAUAUUGGUCAAUGGGCGCAAGCCUGAACCAGCCAUCCCGCGUGAAGGAAGAAGGCGCUAUGCGUUGUAAACUUCUUUUCCGGAGGAAUAAAAUCCUGUACGUGUAUGGGACUGAAGGUACUCCGGGAAUAAGCAUCGGCUAAUUCCGUGCCAGCAGCCGCGGUAAUAU
rnacentral:rRNA from 1 species